rnacentral:rRNA from 1 species
GUGCCAGCCGGCGCGGUAAUACCGGCAGCCCGAGUGAUGGCCGAUCUUAUUGGGCCUAAAGCGUCCGUAGCUGGCCGUGCAAGUCCAUCGGAAAAUCCACCCGCCCAACGGGUGGGCGUCCGGUGGAAACUGCACAGCUUGGGACCGGAAGGCUCGAAGGGUACGUGCGGGGUAGGAGUGAAAUCCCAUAAUCCCGCACGGACCACCGAUGGCGGAAGCACUUCGAGGAAACGGAUCCGACAGUGAGGGACGAAAGCCAGGGUCUCCAACCGGAUUAGAUACCCCGGUAGUCC